rnacentral:rRNA from 1 species
GUGGGGAAUUUUGGACAAUGGGCGCAAGCCUGAUCCAGCAAUGCCGCGUGCAGGAAGAAGGCCUUCGGGUUGUAAACUGCUUUUGUACGGAACGAAAAGGCUCUGGUUAAUACCUGGGGCUCAUGACGGUACCGUAAGAAUAAGCACCGGCUAACUACGUGCCAGCAGCCGCGGUAAUACGUAGGGUGCAAGCGUUAAUCGGAAUUACUGGGCGUAAAGCGUGCGCAGGCGGUUUUGUAAGACAGACGUGAAAUCCCCGGGCUCAACCUGGGAAUGGCGUUUGUGACUGCAAAGCUGGAGUGCGGCAGAGGGGGAUGGAAUUCCGCGUGUAGCAGUGAAAUGCGUAGAUAUGCGGAGGAACACCGAUGGCGAAGGCAAUCCCCUGGGCCUGCACUGACGCUCAUGCACGAAAGCGUGGGGAGCAAACAGGAUUAGAUACCCGAGUAGUCC